CCUACGGGUGGCAGCAGUGGGGAAUAUUGGACAAUGGGGGGAACCCUGAUCCAGCCAUGCCGCGUGUGUGAAGAAGGCCCUCGGGUUGUAAAGCACUUUCAGUGAGGAAGAACGCCUGGUGGUUAAUACCCAUCAGGAAAGACAUCACUCACAGAAGAAGCACCGGCUAACUCCGUGCCAGCAGCCGCGGUAAUACGGAGGGUGCGAGCGUUAAUCGGAAUUACUGGGCGUAAAGCGCGCGUAGGUGGCUUGAUAAGCCGGUUGUGAAAGCCCCGGGCUCAACCUGGGAACGGCAUCCGGAACUGUCAAGCUAGAGUGCAGGAGAGGAAGGUAGAAUUCCCGGUGUAGCGGUGAAAUGCGUAGAGAUCGGGAGGAAUAUCAGUGGCGAAGGCGGCCUUCUGGACUGACACUGACACUGAGGUGCGAAAGCGUGGGUAGCAAACAGGAUUAGAUACCCGUGUAGUC
rnacentral:rRNA from 1 species